rnacentral:rRNA from 1 species
UUGGAAGUAAAAAUCGUAACAAGGUCUCCGUUGGUGAACCAGCGGAGGGAUCAUUACCGAGUUUUCAACUCCCUAACCCUUCUGUGAACCUACCUAUCGUUGCUUCGGCGGACUCGCCCCAGCCCGGACGCGGACUGGACCAGCGGCCCGCCGGGGACCUCAAACUCUUGUAUUCCAGCAUCUUCUGAAUACGCCGCAAGGCAAAACAAAUGAAUCAAAACUUUCAACAACGGAUCUCUUGGCUCUGGCAUCGAUGAAGAACGCAGCGAAACGCGAUAAGUAAUGUGAAUUGCAGAAUCCAGUGAAUCAUCGAAUCUUUGAACGCACAUUGCGCCCGCCAGCAUUCUGGCGGGCAUGCCUGUUCGAGCGUCAUUUCAACCCUCGACCUCCCCUUGGGGGGGUCGGCGUUGGGGACCGGCAGCACACCGCCGGCCCUGAAAUGGAGUGGCGGCCCGUCCGCGGCGACCUCUGCGCAGUAAUACAGCUCGCACCGGAACCCCGACGCGGCCACGCCGUAAAACACCCAACUUCUGAACGUUGACCUCGAAUCAGGUAGGACUACCCGCUGAACUUAAGCAUAUCAAUAAGGCCGGAGGAA